GUGUUCGCUGUGGCAGCACAUAUACUGAAAUUGGAAUGAUACAGAGAAGAUUAGCAUGGCCCCUGUGAAAGGAUGACAUGCAAAUUUGUGAAGCGUUCCAUAUUUUU
ensembl:snRNA U6 U6 spliceosomal RNA